rnacentral:rRNA from 1 species
GAUGAACGCUGACAGAAUGCUUAACACAUCAGCAAUUGAUUGGUGGCGGACGGGUGAGUAACGCGUAAAGAACUUACCUCACAGUUAGGGACAACAUUUGGAAACGAAUGCUAAUACCUAAUACUGUGAGAGAGCUUUGCGUCCCAUUAGCGAGUUGGAGAGGGAACUGCUCACCAAGGCGAUGAUGGGUAGCCGGCCUGUGAGGGUGGUCGGCCACAAGGGGACUGAGACACGGCCCUUACGCCUACGGGGGGCAGCAGUAGGGAAUAUUGGACAAUGGACCAAAGUCUGAUCCAGCAAUUCAGUGUGCACGAUUAAGUUUUCGGAAUGUAAAGUGAUUUCAGUUGGGAAGCGGUACCAACAGAAGAAGGGACGGCUAAAUACGUGCCAGCAGCCGCGGUAAUUC